GGGGAAUAUUGCACAAUGGGGGAAACCCUGAUGCAGCGACGCCGCGUGGAGGAAGAAGGUCUUCGGAUUGUAAACUCCUGUUGUUGAGGAAGAUAAUGACGGUACUCAACAAGGAAGUGACGGCUAACUACGUGCCAGCAGCCGCGGUAAAACGUAGGUCACAAGCGUUGUCCGGAAUUACUGGGUGUAAAGGGAGCGCAGGCGGGAAGACAAGUUGGAAGUGAAAUCCAUGGGCUCAACCCAUGAACUGCUUUCAAAACUGUUUUUCUUGAGUAGUGCAGAGGUAGGCGGAAUUCCCGGUGUAGCGGUGGAAUGCGUAGAUAUCGGGAGGAACACCAGUGGCGAAGGCGGCCUACUGGGCACCAACUGACGCUGAGGCUCGAAAGUGUGGGUAGCAAACAGGAUUAGAUACCCUGGUAGUCCACACUGUAAACGAUGAUUACUAGGUGUUGGAGGAUUGACCCCUUCAGUGCCGCAGUUAACACAAUAAGUAAUCCACCUGGGGAGUACGACCGCAAGGUUGAAACUCAAAGGAAUUGACGGGGGCCCGCACAAGCAGUGGAGUAUGUGGUUUAAUUCGACGCAACGCGAAGAACCUUACCAAGUCUUGACAUCCUGCGACGGACAUAGAAAUAUGUUUUUCCUUCGGGACGCAGAGACAGGUGGUGCAUGGUUGUCGUCAGCUCGUGUCGUGAGAUGUUGGGUUAAGUCCCGCAACGAGCGCAACCCUUACUGUCAGUUACUACGCAAGAGGACUCUGGCAGGACUGCCGUUGACAAAACGGAGGAAGGUGGGGAUGACGUCAAAUCAUCAUGCCCUUUAUGACUUGGGCUACACACGUACUACAAUGGCGUUAAACAAAGAGAAGCAAGACCGCGAGGUGGAGCAAAACUCAGAAACAACGUCCCAGUUCGGACUGCAGGCUGCAACUCGCCUGCACGAAGUCGGAAUUGCUAGUAAUCGUAGAUCAGCAUGCUACGGUGAAUACGUUCCCG
rnacentral:rRNA from 1 species